CCUACGGGAGGCAGCAGUGAGGAAUAUUGGUCAAUGGACGCAAGUCUGAACCAGCCAUGCCGCGUGCAGGAAGACGGCUCUAUGAGUUGUAAACUGCUUUUGUACGAGGGUAAACGCAGAUACGCGUAUCUGUCUGACAGUAUCGUACGAAUAAGGAUAGGCUAACUCCGUGCCAGCAGCCGCGGUAAUACUGAGGAUUCAAGCGUUAUACGGAUUUAUUGGGUUUAAAGGGUGCGUAGGCGGUCGGAUAAGUUAGAGGUGAAAUCCCGAGGCUCAACUUCGGAAUUGCCUCUGAUACUGUUCGGCGAGAGAGUAGUUGCGAUAGGCGGAAUGUAUGGUGUAGCGGUGAAAUGCUUAGAGAUCAUACAGAACACCGAUUGCGAAGGCAGCUUACCAAGCUACUUCUGACGUUGAGGCACGAAAGCGUGGGGAGCAAACAGGAUUAGAUACCCUUGUAGUC
rnacentral:rRNA from 1 species